GGGAAAAUGUGGAGUGUCAGUCAAGAGGCAACACUAGGAGGCAAGGAAUCUGCAUUUCUUUCAGACCUUGGCAGAGAGCGCCCUGGGAAAUGCGGAUAUAGAAGGUCAGGAGAACAUCUCUCCUGGUUAUACAGCAUUCCAGGACUCCUCAUCUGUUUUUAAGAGGGAAAUCUGAGUUUUCAAGGAAAGCCGAAUACAGUUGCCAAGUUGCCAGUCAAAGAAACAAUGUCAACACCUGCUCAUAGAGAUGGAAUUCCUAACCCGGAAUAUUGCCCUUGAAUUACAACGAGAAAAAGAACACUUCUUAUUCCUGUAGCACCUCUUCAAGUGAGAUGGCAGACCACCUCAGGAUGGAAAUGUAUUUCUUCAUCCCCCUCUCUACUUCCCUGUGACCUCCUGCAAAUAAGGUGAGGCUGUUUAUUUUCUCACUUGAUUUCCAUUCUUUGAGUUGAAUCACAGAUUGCAGCAAACUUGUAAUAGCAGAUUGAGAAAUAUAGAACUAUUUCAAGGGUUUGUGGUUUAUAACUUCCUUUUAAAAGAAUUAACCCUUUCUAGGAAUUUUUUUUUUUUUUUCAAAUGGAUCACAAGGUGUGACGCAAGAUUUCUCAUCAUCCUGAUCUGUAUUAUGGUUGGCUUAUUGGGUGCCUUCCUGAUGUGGUAGUCCAGGGUCAUUUUUUAUUCCCUCUUGUAAAUACCCAAGACCAGAAAUCUAUAGGUAUAGUGAGUCCAAAGGAGAUUUCUCUUCAUGAUAACCCUUAACAUGGGCAUUAUCUCAUGUAAUGCUACAGAAGCACGAUGAGGCAUGUAUUGUCCCUGUGUCACUGAGGAAAUGAAAACAUAGCCAAAGUAGCCCUGCCGGUAGACAGUGGCGCAAUUGUGAGCAAUUCCAGCUCCUGUGUGGCUGACCCCGGAGCCAGUGCUUUACCAGAGAUUUUCCACCUUGGCCUAGACCUUUUGUUUUAUUUAUUUAUUUUUCCAAUUUUGGAGGUUCCACUUGCAGAAAACAUUUUUUUUAAAUUAGUUUUUUUCUAAUUGACAAAUAAAAAUGAUAUAUAUUUAUGAUAUACAACCUGACAUUUUGAUAUAUGUAUGCAUUGUGGAAUGGCUAAAUCAAGCCCAUUAGCAUAUCUAAUACCUCACAUACUUUGCAUUCUUUUGUGGUGAGAACACUUAAAUUCUACACUCUCAGCAAUUUUCAAGUGUAAAAUACAUUGAAUACAUUUACUAUAUAGUCACCAUGUUGUGCAAUGGACCUCUUGAACUUCUUUCUCCUAACUGAAGUUUUGUAUCCUUUGACCAACUUCUCUCCAAUUUCUUCCCCCAUCCCUCCCAUGCUCUAGUAACCACCCUUCUUCUACUCUCUGCUUCUAAGAGAUAUUUUUUUGUGGAUUCCACAUAUAAGGGAGACCAUGCAGUGUUUGUUUUUCUGUGCCUGGCUUACUUCACUUAACAUAAUGUCCUCCAGGUUCAUCCAUGUUGUCACAAAUAACAGGAUCUCCUUCUUUUUUUAAGGUUAAAUAGUAUUUCCUGUAUAUAUAUAUCACAUUUUAAAAAUCCAUUUAUCUGUUGUUUGACACUGAGGUUGACUCCGUAUCUUGGCUAUUGUGAAUUGAGCUGAAAUGAACAUGGGAGAGCAGAUAUCUCUUCAACAUAUUGAUUUUAUUUCCUUUGGAUAUAUAGCCAGUAGUGUGAUUGCUAGAUCAUAUCAUAAUUCUGUCUGGGCUGGGAACUUUUAAAAUCCCAAUGUCCAUGGCACACUCCAGAUGAUAUUGAGAUAGAAUCUCAGAAGCUGGCACCCAGGUGUCAGUAUUAUUUAAAACUUCCAGGUGAUGCUGAUGUAAAGGGUGGGUUCGGUGCCACUGCAUUACAUGGAUCCCUGAUUGAUCACCAUGAAGAAUCAAGGUGAGGAUUGGCUGUAACUCAAACUUGAGUGAAAUGCAUAUGGAAUUUUAUGCAUAUUCAUCUUAUAUUUGACAGUAAUCUUUCAUAAUGCAAAUUUAAUGGAACUUGACUUGAAAAAGGUAAAACUAUAUAAUUAAGCACUUUCAACUGUAGUGUUUUCUAUUGUAACUGAACACUUUGGUUGUAGAUAUUCAUGGAUCCAAGCCUACCUAUGUGAAGUCUGGUUGUAGAGGUGAGGCCAUGUGGAAGGCAGUUUGCAAACUCUAUCAGCCACCUGUACAGGUGAUGAUAUGGACAGGAGACAGGGACAUACUAGGUAGGAGAAGGCAGUUACCCAGCAAGGGCCCCACCCUCAAAACAGAAAUCCUGUGGCCCUAAAUGGGAACAGGUAUUCCUGUUUUUGUGCCCAAAAGUUGCCUUUUGCCCCAUCACACCUCCCUAUCCUGUACCCACAUAAACCCCAAACUGCUGGCUCCACAGGGAGAGACAAAGAGAAGAGCAGAAGAACAGAAGAAUGGAGUGGCAAAGAGAAGAGAAGGAGUGACUGAACAUUGACA
ensembl:lncRNA SFTA1P surfactant associated 1, lncRNA